rnacentral:lncRNA from 1 species
GCCGGCAGUGGCAACUCGCUGGGGUCGCCUUCCACAUCUUGGAAGCUUUGUUCUUUCACUCUUUGUAAUAAAUCUUGCUGCUGCUCACUAUUUGGGUCCACCCUGCUUUUAUGAGCUGUAACACUCACCGCAGAAGUCUGCAGCUUCACUCCUGAAGCCAGCAGGACCAUGAGCCCACCAGGAGGAGCGAACAACUCCAGACGCCCCGCUUUAAGAGCUGUAAUACUCACCGCGAAGGUCUGCAGCUUCACUCCUGAGCCAGCGAGACCAUGAACCCACCAGAAGGAAGAAACUCCGAACACAUCCGAACAUCAGAAGGAACAAACUCCAGACACGCCACCUUAAGAGCUAUAACACUCACCGCGAGGGUCCGCGGCUUCAUUCUUGAAGUUAGUGAGACCAAGAACCCACCAAUUCCGGACACAAUAGUACUUACGGCCUAGACUGCUUCUCACGUUUGCUUAAGAGACACAGAGUACUGUAGCUCUUCCUGGAGAGGUUUACAGAAAGCCAUGUUCAGACCACUGGGAUUUGUGAUUCUCCUCUGGCUAGGGCUGGUUUACAUGCUCCCUCCAUGGUGGGGAGUGGGGUGUCAGCUAAAUUUGGUCCAGUGUUCCUUUCUGCUCUAACAGGACGGCGCUGAGUUUAAUGUCUCACAAUUGCUGUGGUCUCUCUCUCUCCCCCAGCAUCCAGAGAUGCUUUCCACACCACGCUGCCAUGUGGGGAAGGGGAGAGAAUCCUCCACAAUUCAGGACUGUUUUUUUUCUGUCUCUUCAGUGCAUUUUUCAGCGAUAUGAAGCUAAAGACAGAUACUACGAGUCCUCACCUGAUAACUGGUUCUUAUGAAGGUGUUUUUUCUGUGUAGAGAGUUGUUAAUUGGUGUCCUUGUUGAAGGGAUGAUGGGUGAAGCAUUCUAUUCCUCCGUCUUGCUGUGCCUCCUCCCUCUCAAUGUUAUCAAACCAUUGAGAGAAACAGAACUUUCCUCAAAGCCAAGAAACAGCUUUCAAAAGGAAGUUUCCCAAAAACUCUUCUAAAAGUACCAGCAUAUCUUCAAACCAAAGUUUAAAUGAAAAAAGAAUAUGAAUCAAGGAAACCUCUAGUUAAUAGAGAGAGUGAGAAAAGAACAUACUGAA